CAGCUCUGCCCUGGGAGGUGCUGGUGGCACAGGUGGGGCCUGGUCGCUCCUCCCUUCCUGUGCCAGAGCUCAAUCUGGAGCCAGAGGCUGGAAGACCUUGGAACACCUCGUCUUCUACGAGGCCCUCCCCGUGGGUUUAGAUCCAUAUCAAACCCAGAAACUGCUGGAACAAAGAUCAUCUUGGAAAACUCUGAACCUCAGAAGGGAUUCACAGGUGCUAGAGCCAGGAAGAGCCCGUCUCUUCCCAACUUCGCACUCAGUGAUGUGGGUGGCUUGAAAUCAUCCGUGGUGGGCGUAUCUACACCAGAGAAAUUGGCAAAUGCUACAAGUCAGAACUCCUUUUGGAGAUCCCGCUGUCGACAUCCACUGCCAAGAUCAGGGUUACACCGCUGCCCUGCUUUCCGGUUCAGUCACCCCAAAACUUCGUCCAAGUCUAAUCCAUCUGGCCGCCGUUCCCAGGAUGGUCUUAAU